ACCUCCCACAAAGGCGUGCCUUUACUGCUCUGUGUAUGGGCACGUAAGAACUGGAGGCAAAUUAAUGGGGGGGGGAGGCUGUCUUUGGACCAGACUGGCUGCCAUUUUGUGCUCUUUCUGGGCCUCCCAACUCUA